rnacentral:rRNA from 1 species
UAACGGCGAGUGAAGCGGCAAAAGCUCAAAUUUGAAAUCUGGUACCUUCGGUGCCCGAGUUGUAAUUUGGAGAGGGCAACUUUGGGGCCGUUCCUUGUCUAUGUUCCUUGGAACAGGACGUCAUAGAGGGUGAGAAUCCCGUGUGGCGAGGAGUGCGGUUCUUUGUAAAGUGCCUUCGAAGAGUCGAGUUGUUUGGGAAUGCAGCUCUAAGUGGGUGGUAAAUUCCAUCUAAAGCUAAAUAUUGGCGAGAGACCGAUAGCGAACAAGUACAGUGAUGGAAAGAUGAAAAGAACUUUGAAAAGAGAGUGAAAAAGUACGUGAAAUUGUUGAAAGGGAAGGGCAUUUGAUCAGACAUGGUGUUUUGUGCCCUCUGCUCCUUGUGGGUAGGGGAAUCUCGCAUUUCACUGGGCCAGCAUCAGUUUUGGUGGCAGGAUAAAUCCAUAGGAAUGUAGCUUGCCUCGGUAAGUAUUAUAGCCUGUGGGAAUACUGCCAGCUGGGACUGAGGACUGCGACGUAAGUCAAGGA